AACGAACGCUGGCGGCAGGCCUAACACAUGCAAGUCGAGCGAAGCCUUCGGGCUUAGCGGCGGACGGGUGAGUAACGCGUGGGAACGUGCCCUUUGGUACGGAAUAGCCCCGGGAAACUGGGAGUAAUACCGUAUGUGGUCGAGAGACCAAAGAUUUAUCGCCUUUGGAUGGGCCCGCGUAGGAUUAGCUAGUUGGUGAGGUAAAGGCUCACCAAGGCGACGAUCCUUAGCUGGUCUUAGAGGAUGAUCAGCCACACUGGGACUGAGACACGGCCCAGACUCCUACGGGAGGCAGCAGUGGGGAAUAUUGGACAAUGGGCGAAAGCCUGAUCCAGCAAUGCCGCGUGAGUGAUGAAGGCCUUAGGGUUGUAAAGCUCUUUUACCUGGGAUGAUAAUGACAGUACCAGGAGAAUAAGCCCCGGCUAACUCCGUGCCAGCAGCCGCGGUAACAC
rnacentral:rRNA from 1 species